AACGUAGGACACAAGCGUUAUCCGGAGUUACUGGGCGUAAAGGGCGUUUAGGCGGGUGAUUAAGUUCGCUCUGAAAGCGCCAGGCUAAACCUGGCGAGGCUGGCGGAUACUGGUCAUCUGGAGUGAGGGAGAGGGAAGUAGAAUUCCGCGUGUAGUGGUGAAAUGCGUAGAGAUGCGGAGGAAUACCAGUGGCGAAGGCGACUUCCUGGCCCUCAACUGACGCUGAAGCGCGAAAGCAUGGGGAGCGAACGGG
rnacentral:rRNA from 1 species